AAUCUGCGAUUCUAGGGUUUGGGCAUACAUUAGAUUUUUUUUAACUUCUUUUUUUCUCUGGUUGGGCAUAAAUAAUCUGUGAUUCUAGGAUUUGGGCAUAUGUAUUUGGUAGAAACUAGGGCUGUAGAUGUUUCCGAUGUUGCCUCUGAUGGCAUACAUUUCUCUUUUUUCUCUGUGUCAUGCUAGAGCGAUUUCGACUUCAGUUUGCACCCCAGAAGCCCCUAACUCCUCUACACUGCGAGCAUAUUUCUAAGUUACACCAUUCAAGCACAGCACAUCACCACAUUGUUUAAUUUCAUUUAGUUGUUUAUAUUGCUCUAUUGUUGUUGAGAAACAAUAGGAAAGGGUAAAUAUAGUAUUUUUUUUACAAGAAUAAUCGUAAAGAAAAUAUAAUUAGGAUCGUACUCCUGAAAUGAGAUUUCAGUUACUUUUUUUCUCUUGAAUAAGUCUUAGGUAUUCUUUGUUUGCCCCUGUAUAUUUUUUUUUUCUCUUGAAUAAGUCUCGGGUUUGCUUUCGUUAUCAACUUUUUUAUGGUGCCAAAGAGAGCAUUAGGGCUAUUAAUUUCUGAAACCAUCAUUUUCGAGCUAUGCAUUGGAUGUGAAUGUGGAGAGGGCAGAGGAUGUGCUGACUCAUAAAACUCUACUGCAAUUGGUAGAAGAUCCUGCUAAUCGACCAGCAUUUGACGUUUGGCUGGUGCUGGAAUCUUGCUUAUAAUACAUUUAAUAAAGGCGUCCCUUAUUCCAUUUCUCAUAUGGCUUCUCUUAAAUACCUAAACAUCAGGGAGUAAUCAACUACAGGAACAACUGUUUGAUGCCUUUGGACGACUUUCUUCUCUCUCUACAUUCACAAGGCCAAGAUCUGAGCAGUCCUUGGUUCAAUGGGCAACACCUCAGCUCCAUGAUAUUGAUGCUCUUGGAAAAAUGGUUGAUCCGGCCCUUAAAGGGCUCUACCCAGUUAAAUCUCUCUCACGGUUUGUUGAUGUCAUUGCACAUUGCGUCCAGGUAAUGAAUAAAUUAUCAAAUUCGAGUGCAUGUUCAAAGCUCAUUGGUAGCGGGAAUUAUGCUAGAAUGUCUUACACUGCCAACAUAUUCUGGAGGAUUAUAUUGUAUGGCUAGCAAAUAGAAAUGAUAUAAGAAUAAAUACAAAUCGAUACUGAUGUUCAAUUUUUAAUCUAUCAUUUUUUCGGGCAGCUGGAGCCUGAGUUUCGACCACCUAUGUCAGAAGUGGUUCAAGCGCUUGUUCGUUUAGUGCAACAUAACGAACAUGAGUAAGAGAACAAUUGGAAAUGACCUAGGAGCAUCCCAAAGAGCCGUCAACCCAGACAUGCUUGAGUGAAUCCAUGUCCUCCAGUGACGGCAAAAUUCUUCUUCGAUAAAACAGAGCAGAAAAGGCAAAGUUUCAUGGUUUUUCUUCUUUUUCUUUCAUUUUUUCUUUUUACUCCCUGAAUGGAGCUUGUACAUACCAGUUAUUUAGCCUGCUGCACCAUUUUUUCCUUUUACUCCCUGAAUGGAGCUUGUUGCUGUUAGGGUUGCUAUCCAAAAGUGAUAUGGACUCUGGACGCAAUUAGAUUAUAUAGCUUGGUUAUCCCAAAAUCAUAUGGGCAAUAUAUUUUUUUAUAAGAAAGUCGUGUACUAC